GAUACGAUGGGGAGCGAAACUAAGUAGCGAAGCAGCUGAUUUCACACUGUCGAGAAAAGUCUCUAUCGAGAUUAAAGGUACCCGUACCGCAAACCGACACAGGUGGGUGAGGAGAGUAUCCUAAGGCCAGCGAGAGAACUGUUGUUAAGGAACUCGGCAAAAUGACCCCGUAACUUAGGGAUAAGGGGUGCCCCAGAAAUGGGGCCGCAGAGAAUUGGCCCAAGCGACUGUUUACCAAAAACAUAGGUUUCUGCUAAGUCGCAAGACGAUGUAUAGGAGCUGACGCCUGCCCGGUGCUGGAAGGUUAAGGGGAUCUGUUAGAGCAAUCGAAGCAGUGAUCUUAAGCCCCAGUAAACGGCGGCCGUAACUAUAACGGUCCUAAGGUAGCGAAAUUCCUUGUCGGGUAAGUUCCGACCCGCACGAAAGGCGUAACGAUUUGGGCACUGUCUCAACAACAGACUCGGUGAAAUUGUAGUCCCGGUGAAGAUGCCGGGUACCUGCGACAGGACGGAAAGACCCCAUGGAGCUUUACUGUAGCUUGACAUUGGGUCUCGGUACUACAUGUACAGGAUAGGUGGGAGACUGAGAAAUCUGGGCGUCAGUUUAGAUGGAGUCAUCCUUGGGAUACCACCCUUGUAGUAUUGGGACUCUAACCAUAGGCCAUGAAUCUGGUCUUGGGACACUGUCUGGUGGGCAGUUUGACUGGGGCGGUCGCCUCCCAAAAGGUAACGGAGGCGCUCAAAGGUUCCCUCAGUACGGUCGGAAAUCGUACGAAGAGUGUAAAGGCAAAAGGGAGCUUGAUUGCAAGACAUACAGGUCGAGCAAGGUAGAAAUACGGACUUAGUGAUCCGGUGGUUCUGCGUGGAAGGGCCAUCGCUCAACGGAUAAAAGCUACCCUGGGGAUAACAGGCUUAUCUCCCCCAAGAGUCCACAUCGACGGGGAGGUUUGGCACCUCGAUGUCGGCUCAUCACAUCCUGGGGCUGUAGUUGGUCCCAAGGGUUGGGCUGUUCGCCCAUUAAAGUGGUACGCGAGCUGGGUUCAGAACGUCGUGAGACAGUUCGGUCCCUAUCCGUCGCAGGCGUAGGAAAUUUGAGGAGAUCUGUCCUUAGUACGAGAGGACCGGGAUGGACAUACCUCUGGUGUACCAGUUGUUCUGCCAAGGGCAUGGCUGGGUAGCUAUGUAUGGAAAGGAUAAGCGCUGAAAGCAUCUAAGCGCGAAGCCAACUUCAAGAUAAGAUUUCCCACCGCAAGGUUAAGAUCCCAGGAAGACUA
rnacentral:rRNA from 1 species